UACAGAGGGGGCUAGCGUUGUUCGGAAUUACUGGGCGUAAAGGGCGCGUAGGCGGCCCUCUAAGUCGAACGUGAAAUCCCCGGGCUCAACCCGGGAACUGCGUCCGAUACUGGAGGGCUCGAAUCCGGGAGAGGGAUGUGGAAUUCCAGGUGUAGCGGUGAAAUGCGUAGAUAUCUGGAGGAACACCGGUGGCGAAGGCGGCAUCCUGGACCGGUAUUGACGCUGAGGCGCGAAAGCCAGGGGAGCAAACGGGG
rnacentral:rRNA from 1 species